rnacentral:rRNA from 1 species
GAUGAACGCUAGCGGCAGGCUUAAUACAUGCAAGUCGAGGGGCAGCACGGGUAGCAAUACCUGGUGGCGACCGGCAAACGGGUGCGGAACACGUACGCAACUUUCCCAAAACUGGUGAAUAGCCCUCCGAAAGGAGGAUUAAUACACCGUAACAUAAUGAAGUGGCAUCACUUUAUUAUUAUAGCUCCGGCGGUUUUGGAUGGGCGUGCGCCUGAUUAGGUAGUUGGCGGGGUAACGGCCCACCAAGCCUUCGAUCAGUAACUGGUGUGAGAGCACGACCAGUCACACGGGCACUGAGACACGGGCCCGACUCCUACGGGAGGCAGCAGUGGGAAUAUUGGACAAUGGGCGAAAGCCUGAUCCAGCAAUGCCGCGUGAGUGAUGAAGGCCUUAGGUGUAAGCUCUUUUACCCGGGAUGAUAAUGACAGUACCGGGAGAAUAAGCUCCGGCUAACUCCGUGCCAGCAGCCGCGGUAAU